rnacentral:rRNA from 1 species
GAUGAACGCUAGCGGCAGGCUUAACACAUGCAAGUCGAGGGGUAGAGGAAGCUUGCUUCCUUGAGACCGGCGCACGGUGCGUAACGCGUAUGCAAUCUACCUUAUACAGGGGGAUAGCCCAGAGAAAUUUGGAUUAAUACCCCAUAGUAUAAUUGAAUGGCAUCAUUUAAUUAUUAAAGUUCCAACGGUAUAAGAUGAGCAUGCGUCCCAUUAGCUAGUUGGUGUGGUAACGGCACACCAAGGCGACGAUGGGUAGGGGUCCUGAGAGGGAGAUCCCCCACACUGGUACUGAGACGCGGACCAGACUCCUACGGGAGGCAGCAGUGAGGAAUAUUGGUCAAUGGGCGCAAGCCUGAACCAGCCAUGCCGCGUGCAGGAUGACGGUCCUAUGGAUUGUAACUGCUUUUGUACAGGAAGAAACACUCCCUCGUGAGGGAGCUUGACGGUACUGUAAGAAUUAAGGAUCGGCUAAACUCCGUGCCAGCAGCCG